AGAAUGCUUAUGGGUAUCAACUAAUGAAUGUAAUCCCAAGGUCAAACUACGAGCUGUUUUCCUUCACUAAUAUUUCCAAAACACACAACAACAGUUGGCAUCGCUCGCAUAUAAACAGCUCUUCCAUGUCACUGAGAAAACGAGCAAGAUCCAGGGAGGAAAAAUGGAUACAGGAUAUAAAUAGAAAAUCCUCAAAACAGGAAUUUCAAAAUGUCAACAAACAGGCAAAACUUUCUUUCAACAGCGCUAUUAUGACUGGUAUGUUUCACUUGCUUUUUUUUUUUUUUUCUUUUUCUCCAGCAAAUUGCUCAAAUGUCGGUGUGCUCUCAUGAACAGAAACGAUGGCACGGUGGGUCCUGGUCUCAAGACUUCCUCUCAAUGAUUCAGAGGUCUUGGGGGUUUUUUGUCUGAAUAUCAGGCAAAGAGGAAGGACGGCUACAAUGGAGGAGUCUCCUACCACGCUUGUGGUCGUCACUGUAGUGCUCAGUUGAAUGGUGUGUCCAUUGGGGUUGGAGUCCCCAUCCUGUUCUGGGUCCUGGCCCCCCACAGGCUCCAGGGACAUAACCCUUCCAGUUCAGGAUCAUGUGCUGGGGCACUGUUCCCUGAGGUGGGACUCUGGGCUGUAACAGCUGCUUUUGAAGCAUGUUCCAGCUUCAACCACGUGCUUGGACGACACCAGCUCUUCCCACAUACUCUUCCCCAGCUCUUGUGUUGAGUUUGGCUUCCACCUUCCUCCAGCUGGGUCUCGCUAUGUUGCCCAAGCCAUUCUGGAGCUCCUGCGCUUAAGUGAUCCUCCUGCCUCAGCCUCCCAAGUAACUGGAAUUAUAAAUGUGAGCCACUGUGCCCAGCAAUUACAAAAUUUUUGGAAUGCAAUUGGGAAGUACAGCUGAAAAACUUCAGCAACGUGGGCUGUUUGAUUGUACAAUCGCACUUCUUGGAAUUUAUCCUACAGAAAUCAGUAGUCAAGUUCACAAAAACUGACAAUAGCCAUUACAGAGAAGCAGAAGAAAGGGAAAUAAAAACAUUCAAACCUACCAACAGGAGAUUGGACAAAUAAAUCAUGUUAUAACUAUACAAUGGGCUAUUAUGUAACCAUUAAAAUGAUCAUCUAUUCUA
rnacentral:lncRNA from 1 species